rnacentral:tRNA from 1 species
GCCUGUGUGGCUCAGUUGGUUAAGUGUCUGACUUCAGCUCAGGUCAUGAUCUCACGGCUCGUGGGUUCAAGCCCCACGUUGGGCU